rnacentral:rRNA from 1 species
GACGAACGCUGGCGGCGUGCUUAACACAUGCAAGUCGAACGGAAAGGCCUGCUUUCCCUUGUGGAUUGCGUGUACUCGAGUGGCUAACGGGUGAGUAACACGUGAGUGAUCUACCCCCAACUUGGGUAUAAGCAUGGGAGACUGGGUCUAAUUCCCGAUAGGACUGCAGGGUGGUGUCGUUGGUGGCAAACGUUUUUCUAGUGGUUGGGGAUGAGCUCGCGGCCUAUCAGCUUGUUGGUGGGGUAAUGGACUACCAAGGCGGCGACGGGUAGCCGGCCUGGGAGGGUGGACGGCCACAUUGGGACUGAGAUACGGCCCAGACUCCUACGGGAGGCAGCAGUGGGGAAUAUUGCACAAUGGGCGGAAGCCUGAUGCAGCGACGCCGCGUGGGGGAUGACGGCCUUCGGGUUGUAAACUCCUUUCGACCGCGAGGAAGCCACCUGGUUGGAAGGGUGGUGACGGUAGUGGUAGAAGAAGCACCGGCUAACUACGUG